GGGGAAUAUUGCGCAAUGGGGGAAACCCUGACGCAGCAACGCCGCGUGAAGGAUGAAGGCUUUCGGGUUGUAAACUUCUUUGAUGAGGGAAGAAAAUGACGGUACCUCAAAAACAAGCCACGGCUAACUACGUGCCAGCAGCCGCGGUAAUACGUAGGUGGCAAGCGUUAUCCGGAAUUACUGGGUGUAAAGGGCGUGUAGGCGGGUAGACAAGUCAGAUGUGAAAUUCCAGGGCUCAACCCUGGCGCUGCAUCUGAAACUGUUUACCUUGAGUAUCGGAGAGGAAAGUGGAAUUCCUAGUGUAGCGGUGAAAUGCGUAGAGAUUAGGAGGAACACCAGUGGCGAAGGCGACUUUCUGGACGAUUACUGACGCUGAGGCGCGAAAGCGUGGGGAGCGAAC
rnacentral:rRNA from 1 species